rnacentral:tRNA from 1 species
AAGAAAGUGCCUGAAGUUUAAAGGAUUAUUUUGAUAGAAUAAAUUAUACAUGUUAUGUCUUUCUUU